UGCCACAGCCAUAUCAACCUGCAGCCCAAGACCGGUUACUCACUGAAGCUAAGCAGGGCUGAGCCUGGUCAGUACCUGGAUGGGAGACCACAUGGGAAAACUAGGUUGCUGUUGGAA
rnacentral:rRNA from 1 species